UACAGAGGGUGCAAGCGUUGUUCGGAAUUAUUGGGCGUAAAGGGCGCGUAGGCGGUUCGGCAAGUCUCUAGUGAAAUCUCUGGGCUCAACUCAGAGUCUGCUGGGGAAACUGCCGGGCUUGAGUGUGGGAGAGGAGAGUGGAAUUCCCGGUGUAGCGGUGAAAUGCGUAGAUAUCGAGAGGAACACCAGUGGCGAAGGCGAGUCUCUGGACACUUCCUGACGCUGAGGCACGAAAGCCAGGGGAGCAAACGGG
rnacentral:rRNA from 1 species